rnacentral:rRNA from 1 species
GACGAACGCUGGCGGCGUGCCUAAUACAUGCAAGUCGAACGCACAGUUUAUACCGUAGCUUGCUACACCAUAGACUGUGAGUUGCGAACGGGUGAGUAACGCGUAGGUAACCUGCCUGGUAGCGGGGGAUAACUAUUGGAAACGAUAGCUAAUACCGCAUAAUAUUAAUUAUUGCAUGAUAAUUAAUUGAAAGGUGCAAUUGCACCACUACCAGAUGGACCUGCGUUGUAUUAGCUAGUAGGUGAGGUAACGGCUCACCUAGGCGACGAUACAUAGCCGACCAGAGAGGGUGAGCGGCCAAGCUGGGAAUGAGAGACGGCCCAGACGCCUACGGGAGGCAGCAGUAGGGAGUCUUGGGAAAUGGACGAAAGUCUGACCGAGCAACGCCGGGUGAGUGAAGAAGGGUGUCGGAUCGUAAAGCUCGGUUGUGAGAGAAGAACGGGUGGGAGAGUGGAAAGUUCACACUGUGACGGUAGCUUACCAGAAAGGGACGGCUAACUACGUG